rnacentral:lncRNA from 1 species
ACCUCUUUGACAAGUGUUUAUUAAUCAAACGAUGGUGGAACUUCUUCAGAGAACCACCACAACCUUAGAAAGAGCUUAUCAGAAAGCUUCACUGCAAGAAUAAACUCCCUUCUCAGACUGAAAGCAACGAUAUCAAGCAACCAUCGGCCAUUUGGCGCAGCGUGGUGAAGGUGACCAAUAUCUUCAGAGUCAGUGUAAUCUUUCAAUGUGGUUAUAGCGAAGAAACGGCUUUCCGGAAAGAUCAUUGGUUUGGCGAAAGACCCUUUAAAGAUCAAUUCCCAGGAUUAUUCUUACUUACAUGUUCACUAGAGAUCUCGAUUUCAAGUUUUAUGAAGAUUG